CUAUCAUUAGCCUCACAGAAGCACUGAUUAAUCCUACGCAAAUUUUACAUCAAGUAGGAAAGAUAACAUGAUGUCACCAGCCUAUUUGUGGGAUUCCAAACACUGACUAAGUCCACAGGACCCGUAAAAACCAACGCUGAGAAAGAGUACAAGGCUGAGAGGAACAAGAAGGACAACAAGAGAAUGAAUAUGAAAAGAGAGUGAGAGACAUUGAAAGAGUAAAACACACAGAGACAAAACCAAGACAACCAUAAAUGAUUGAGAAAACAGGGAAACAAGAGAUGCGGUGAGUGUUAGUGUCUGGGAGGCACAGGGGCUUAGUUAUGUGAUGAUGUAAUAAUUUGUGAAGCAAUGUUCUGGGUCUGUCUGUCCCUCCGUCCAUCUGUCGAUUCAUCUGUGGGUCUGGAGCAAAUAAGACUGUCUAAGAAGUUGAUAAUCAGACUUUAAAGAAGAGGAACAACAGCAUUUAUGUAAAGACUGUUAGAUGCUGCUUCUUUUUAGCUGAAGUAAUAAGAGAGUAGCAUCUGCUAGUUCCUGUUUUCAGAAUUUCUCUCUCACGCUUUCUUUUGUAAUCAAGUUGGUUCCUCCUCGGCACGUUCAUGCCAACUGUUACUGCAUGUGCUUCACAGUAGAAAGUGUCCCCUGGUGCCUCCUUGCUUCAUGCAUUUAAUCACAUUUCAUAUUAUCCCUCAGAAUUUAGUGCUUACUAUGAGAGUUGUGACUGUGACAUUUCGUUUGGUGCUUUCACUGUGCAGCAAUUUCAGAAUUAUGAACCUCAACUAUGGAGUGAGAUAGAUCUUCACAUAAAGGUUACUGCAAGAGGUGCUUAGUCUCUUAUAAUCAUGGGUGUGUUUUGGGUGUGUUCAGAGUGGCUUCUUCCAUUCCCUUUAAAGCCAGGCGAGCUUGUGCCAUGGUAGAUCGAUUUCUACUGGAAGAUUUCCAGGUAGUAAGAGAGAACACUUCUCUGCAGAGGAAAGAGAUCUGUUCCUGCUUGUACGCUUGUCAAAAUGUAGGUACAUAAUACUAUCUUGAUAAUGUGCCUUAUAUGAGAUAACUCUAUUAGCACUGUCAGAACUGUCCAGAACGUCAUUGGACAUUGAUCCUUCUAAAAAAAACACCAACCUUUGAAUAAUUUUGAUCUAUUUUUGCUCAUAAGUAGGAAAACCCAUGCAAAAAAAGACAUAGCUACUUGUAUAGGUGUAUUUAUUUCAACAUCUAUAUGAGUGGCCAUGCUGAUUGGGGUGCAUAUUUUCAAGAUGUAAUCUUAAAUUGCGGGAGCUGGAUAUGUCGGCUAAUAGCUAACAUAGCUUGAAUAUCUUUAUCCCAAGUUUCCACAGUUUUAAUGUCUACUGACCAAACUCUGAAGAAAUUCAAAACAAGGUUUUAGAUUGCUCUCGUCUGUGGCGGAGUUGGAUUGUAAAUGCUCUGCCACACUGUCCAUGUUGAAUUAUCUGCUGGUUUCAGUUUGACCUACAUAACCUCCUCCACCAGUUAAAGUGGCUUUGCGUGACUCCUGUCCAUCAUGUAGUGUCUUUAUAUAAUCAAAUUCAGACUUUUCGUUGACAGUCCAAAACUGUAGCGUUGUAUUUAUAGAACUAGUGCUGUGGAACUGUACAAUAUGAUCACGUGAAGGUUUGAGGUGGUCAUUAUUUCUGACAGCUUUUGUUAGUCAGACUGCUGAGACUGAGACAUUUCUGGCUCUACUUUAAGUGCUAAUCAUUAAGGUAAAAUUCCUAUUAACAAGAUUAGUAGAGUACAGCUUGCAAGCAGCAUGAAACGCUCAUAUUUCUGUCUGUGUGUUUAUGUGUGUCAGUGCGCACUAGAUUUUGAAGCUGUUGCCAUGACAAUAGCAGAGAGGCAGUGAUAUGACGAAUAAGUGAAAAAAACGGAGGAGGAGUCAGACAGAGAGAGAAACGACCAGUUAAAACUGUGUUUGGAAUUCUUUGAACUCUUAUCUCCCAUGCAUGUGCCAGAUGGCGCUGUGCACAUUGCUAUUACAUAAUCAAAACAGUGAAUCACAUUUCUACGUACACAGCCACUCUUGGGCACACACAAACACACAAACACACACACAAACACACAAACACACUGACAAACACACUGACAAACAUGCACACAGUCCAAAACUAAAUGUCAUUAAUGUCAAACAUUUAUAAACCAAAUCCUCCAGCCAGGGAAGGACACAAAACACUCAGCUCCAACAGCCUCAAUACGAGUUCACUGCUAGCGACAAACACACUAGAGCAUGUGAACAUACACACACAGCACUGUCGUCUGAGGUGCGCAUGAGAGAAACUGUGUCAUGUACACAUGCACAACAACAAAAACACCACAGCAACCAAACUGUAACCACAAAAAAGCACAUGUAUGUAUGUGUGUGUGUGUGUGUGUGUCUGUGUGUGAUGACAGAGAGACAGAGAUGAUGUGUUCAAAGAUAAUAACACACAGAACAGAGUGGGAACAGUUAAAACCACUAUCAGAAGAAUACAUUUUAGAUGUGGUUUCAGUAACAGUCACUUCACUAUACACAGACCGAUAGUAAACCUAUAUGUUCCCAAAAUAAAAGGUAUAACAGGCCUGGCAUUACAAACACUACCUCCAAGUUAUCAACACAACCUAUAAUUAGAUCCUCUUCUAUCUCAACCAAUAUUGAAUUUCACUUCAACUCCAAUAAAACUAAAUAAAACUAUUGCUCAGUAUCUGCGGAGGAGGAGCAGCUGGUUAACCUCAAACUGGGCUUAUGUAUCUGGUGAUAAUAUCCAGUAUCUUUAACUAUAGUGCAGUUUCUCUCUAGCAAAACAUCUACAUUUAAAGAAUAGGCAAAAUUAGACCAGUAACGGAACAGUGCCAGUGCUAUCAGACACACAAUUAACACACAAAAAGAAAAAACAGUCAUGUUUAUUGUAUAUACAGUAGAUGAUGCAGAUCUGCUAAGGGUUUGAUGAUUAUUUCCUCCUGCUCUAGUUCCUGACUGCAAUGAAACAAAUACUGUAGCAAGUCAGGCUUUGUUCUUCUCCUUCUCCUCCUUCUAUCUCAGGCUUGUUUACUUGUCGUCUCUCUCCUUUCACACAGUCCUGUCUUUAUCUCACUCCUUCAGACAACUCAGGAAGUCGAAUCACUUGUAAUCACAGUUUAACAUCAAUAAACAUUACAAGACAUGUGCACUUUUUGUCACAUUGUUAAUUCUAGAGGCAACCAGUGCUCACUUAGUGUGACUUUCAGCUGUACACAAGAACCAGUAACUAUGGUUUUGCAACUACAGAACUAGAGGUUCCGGCUGUUCUGGUGGAAACACAGAUAAAGUUCCAAAGUUUCUUAAAUGGUUCUAGGGUUCCUACAAAUGUCCCUGCAGUGAAGAGGACACAAUCUCAAAUCGACACAACCCCACAGCAGAAUGGCAGGUAAACACUCACUGCGUGACUGAAUGAGUUACAUUACUCAAAAAAGCACCAAAAUCUCUGUGAGGCUCAACAAAAAUUCACAGAGACCAUAACAAUGCUGGAAAUUGCGGCCACCGCUUAGUAACCACCAAUAUCCACGUGCACAGAGACAGAAUCAUGCAACACAAAGUGAGGGUAUAUUGAGAAGAACAGCAUUCAGUAGUUUGUUGUAGACCCUGUGGUCAACGUUUAAUCUCACAAAUAGCUGAGUCAUAUGGAUGAAUGUUCCUUUUACUGUGUCCAGCCUAUUAAUAGAAAACAAAAGUCUUACCAGGGCAGGCCACUGUAUGUGUUUGGCCUUGGUUGCCUGCAGCAGGCCUCCUGCUCCUCCGCCUGCUCCCACUCCUCCUGCUCCCUCCUUCCUCUUGGCCCAGACCAGCUGGUGCUCCAGUAGAAACAGCUGGAAAUCCUCAUAGACCUUGACCCACUCUCUCUUCUCCCACUCCUGAUCAUCAAACUCCACAUAUACCUGCAAACCAGAGAAAAACAAAAUUCAACAACCACAUUCCAUUCAAAACUAAACCCACUAAGGGUAGUUUGGUUAUGUAUUUUAGACGUAAGCCUGUUUCUCCUGUAAAGCCGUGCCAGUGUUUGCUUCUCUUAUCUCCCACACUCCCGGCACAAACUCCUCACCCAUUCACCCACCGUGUCUGUGUGCAAAGCCCGCCCACACAGCGCCCAUCCACAUUUUAUGGAUUCAUUUUUUGGAUGUAUUGUGCAGCUGUAAUUUUCAGUCAGGGUACAUUUCUUGUUAUUUUUGUUG